CCAUCUAGCCUGAAGCAGUGAAUUCCUGCUGGGGAAAACUGUGUCUAGAGGUUGCACAUGACUUCACAGGAUUUAUGAUAGAGAUUAUGACAUAGAAAUCGAAGAAAUCAUAAAGUGGAUUGUGGACAUGGCAAAAAGGCCAGGAGGUAAAGGGCUUCUUGGAGAAAUUCCAGAAUUAACAGGCACCACACCAGAUGAAUUAAGAGUUGUCUUGACGGACAUGAGUUGUCUUCAUGAACAAAUUGACGUUAGAUAAUCUGGCAGAAGAAUCCUGAUUAUUCAAGACUGCUUUUGACUUCCUUUACAACAUGGACUCUUCUAGGACAUGGGUGCUGAAACUAAAGUACGUAGAGGAAGAAAGAUUGGUAUUGUACAGAAAGCUUUUUAGAGAAAUGAAAAAGCAAAAAAGGUCAAAUUAUGAAAUAUGUAUUUCUGUAAAGUUGCACCCGCCUCUUCUGCCUUCCUUUCUACCUUCUGCACCUCUUCCCCCCCAUCACCCCUCGUCCUCCUCAGUCUACUCAACAGGAAGAUGAUGACAAUAAAGACCUUUAGGAUGAUCCGCUUCCAUUUAGUGAAGAGUAAGGAAUCAUUAUGCUGCACCGUUAAUAAACAUCCGUUGUGUCUUCAUGUGAAAAUAUAGUAACUGUAUGGCAAGAACUAUGCGAAACAUUUUCUGUCCUCCUCAUCAUCACUGCUUAAGUAUUCAUCACGUAGAAUAUCACAAACCAGAUUUGUAUGGAAGUGGAUAGCCUAUCCUUUCACAGGCAUGGGAUACUUCUUGAGCACUAAGGAGCAUGUACAAUUCCAGGUUUUAGAGAUUUAGCAGUGAAUAAGACAACCGGAGGAUAAAUGACAGAAGGGACAUCUGAGGCCUGGAGCGUGUACAGGGAAAGAGCUCUGACCAUGUCCAAAGUCAGGGUGUGCACACCCUACACAUCACUGAGUAUUUUACCUCUCGUUUGCUAUAUGCAGAAGCACAGACAAAAGACCCCACAGCAUAGCAUCCUGUGAUGGAAAGCAAAACUACGUCUCAAGCAAUAAUGACUGUCUGGACAAAGAGUUGGGCAGCCCAGACCACUGGGGUGAUGAGAUGAGAUUGUGCUUAACUCCUGACUCAGUUUGUGCAGAUGGACCAUGGACUGACCCAUGGAGUGACCCAUAUUUACCUUGUCCUCAUUCUAAUACUAAAACUAGCCUCCCUGGAACUUCCAGGAGGAAUACAAGCCUCAUUUACAUAACAUAGAAUGUAUGAAUAGGCAUGUUUUCUUAAGGCACUGCAGGACCUUAUGCCUGUCUCUACAAAUGAUGACAAGGACGCCCUUUUAAAAUAUUCUUUCUAACCCUACAUAAAAGGAACCCAUCCACCCUUGCUCAAGGAGUCAUGGUUUUGGAAGUUAUUCCCUACGAUCGCCUUAUGUGCUACAAAUAAA